UUCUUUAUCACCGAGUGCUUGCACUCACCGAUAAAGAGUUGAGUGGCGAACGGGUGAGUAACACGUGGGCAACCUGCCCAAAAGAGGGGGAUAACACUUGGAAACAGGUGCUAAUACCGCAUAACCAUAGUUACCGCAUGGUAACUAUGUAAAAGGUGGCUAUGCUACCGCUUUUGGAUGGGCCCGCGGCGCAUUAGUUAGUUGGUGGGGUAAAGGCUUACCAAGGCAAUGAUGCGUAGCCGAACUGAGAGGUUGAUCGGCCACAUUGGGACUGAGACACGGCCCAAACUCCUACGGGAGGCAACAGUAGGGAAUCUUCCACAAUGGGCGAAAGCCUGAUGGAGCAACGCCGCGUGGGUGAAGAAGGUCUUCGGAUCGUAAAACCCUGUUGUUAGAGAAGAAAGUGCGUGAGAGUAACUGUUCACGUUUCGACGGUAUCUAACCAGAAAGCCACGGCUAACUACGUGCCAGCAGCCGCGGUAAUACGUAGGUGGCAAGCGUUAUCCGGAUUUAUUGGGCGUAAAGGGAACGCAGGCGGUCUUUUAAGUCUGAUGUGAAAGCCUUCGGCUUAACCGGAGUAGUGCAUUGGAAACUGGGAGACUUGAGUGCAGAAGAGGAGAGUGGAACUCCAUGUGUAGCGGUGAAAUGCGCAGAUAUAUGGAAGAACACCAGUGGCGAAAGCGGCUCUCUGGUCUGUAACUGACGCUGAGGUUCGAAAGCGUGGGUAGCAAACAGGAUUAGAUACCCUGGUAGUCCACGCCGUAAACGAUGAAUGCUAAGUGUUGGAGGGUUUCCGCCCUUCAGUGCUGCAGCUAAC
rnacentral:rRNA from 1 species